CGCCAAUACUGCUUUAAUGUUUAAUGUGAGGAUCUGAAUCACUGAUUGUCCUAUAGAUAGGACAAAAGAAGGUAGUAAGAUAAAGAAGUGAUCAGGUGAGCUGUUCCUGCCUGAACGGCAGAAGAACUGAGAAGGGGAGGGCAGUGGCAUUUAUAGGGGCCACCUGUUUGAAGAGGGUGAGGAAGAGCCCGCAGAGGUGCAAUCACACAGCAGCAUGAAAGUGAAGAGGCACAGGAGUGGGGCAGGCAGGCAGCCUCCUCCCCCGGGGAGACGAAGGGAGUUAAGAGAGUACUGAAGGCUUUCCACCUUGCAGUACAGUGCUGCUCCUGAUGAUCGGAACCAUGCCUUCCACCUGCCUUGAUCAGUUUUCCGAAAGUAGUCACUCCUAAAGUAUAUCUGAUGGAACACAAGACGGUAUUGAAUGAGCAACAAAUACUGCUUGUAAACCCCCUGAUAAAGGAAGACUUUAUCUCAUAGUCCUGGAAGCAAUCCUGACGUCUUAAAUUAUGUAAUCCUGGUAUUACAUUAUAUUAGUCUGGUUCAUAUAAAAUGUAAGCUACAAAAAUACCAAAGCUAAGAAAAAAUAUUUACUCAUGCUUUUACUAAGAUGCAGAGAGAGGAUGCAUGCAUUGCCAAAAUUCCAUAGAACAUGCUCAAACUAAAGCAACAAUGCCUUAGUUAUUAAAGAAGGCAAUGGCCUGAAGCAGUACUUAGGAACAAAGAUUACUUGGUCCAUGCAAGAGUCAAUAUUUAAGAACACAAUGACUAAUUCCCACUUCAAGUUCAUGAACAUAUUUCUUUUUAAGAGCUUCUUUUUGGUUAAAAUUUUUAUUUGUGGUUUCCCUACUUAUGAUCCAUGAACCUAAGAAUGAACAAAAACUUGAAACAUGAAACUCUCCAGUAGGCCAAAGUGUCAGUAUAGACUUAAUUCUGAUUUUAAAGACUUCUCAACAAGGGUUACACGAAACUUGUACUUUACUUCUCAGUCUCCAAAAAUACUCAUUUAUCAACUCGGCCUAAAGAACCAGACUGAAUGUUCUUGAACAACCGUGGAAAAUGCAUGAAUGACACCUCCAGACCAUAUCAAAACACUUGGGCUCUUAAUUUAAUUUCAAAUUACUUGAAUCCCAACUAGUAUUAUUGUUGCCAAUAGAAACUCCAUUUAUAAAUAAUCAGCUUUUUUUUUUUUUAAUGUUCUAGUUGAGCUUACCCUGAGCUAAAAGUAAUCAUUAAAUUCAUUUCCAGCACUACCUGUGUGACCCUUCAGCAAACUGCUCAAUUUUCCACACCUCAAUUUUCACCUUAGGUUCUCUCAAAGA